AAAUAGGCGACUUUGGAUUGGCCCGUGAUGUGUACAAGAAAGACUACUACAGGAAAAAGGGUGAAGGUUUAUUUCCUGUUCGCUGGAUGUCAACAGAAAGUUUAACAGAUGUAAUUUUCAACAAAUACUCGGAUGUCUGGGCGUUUGGUGUACUCCUGUGGGAGAUUAUGACAUUAGCUUCCAUAUCCAACAUACACCAACCAUGAAGUCUUAAGCUACAUUAAUGCCGGUGGACGACUGCCUUUACCAACCGGGUGUCCUAAGAGUUUGUACAAUCUGAUGAUGGACUGUUGGAAAAAGGGGCCAAAUGAAAGGCCAAGCUUCCAGGACCUACAGGAAACCCUGCAUAGAUUGCGAGAUUACGAAGCAGAUCAAAUAGGCGAAAAUAUGAUUGCAUGUCAUGUAAACCAAGCAUACCAAGAAGAUGAGGAGGAGGUCUGCACAAGGGUGGAUGAAGAUGAAGAUGUAGAAACAGGACUUUCUCCUGUGCUCAACAACGAUGGACUGAAUUACUUGAUGUAUCGAGCUGAGAGUCCAGACAGUGUCAGAACAGACAAAUCCACACUGUCAGAGGACAGAUAAGACUAGGAAACCACAUUUCACAAGACUUUUUUAAGAUGUCAAAUAAAUAUUUGGUGUCCCCAGAAUACGUAUGUGAA